rnacentral:rRNA from 1 species
CUCCGGUUAGUCGAAACCGGGGCUAAUACCGAAUAAUCUAUUUUACUUCAUGGUGAAAUACUGAAAGACGGUUUCGGCUGUCGCUAUAAGAUGGGCCCGCGGCGCAUUAGCUAGUUGGUGAAACGGCUCACCAAGGCGACGAUGCGUAGCCGACCUGAGAGGGUGAUCGGCCACACUGGGACUGACGGCCCAGACUCCUACGGGAGGCAGCAGUAGGGAAUUCCACAAUGGGCGAAAGCCUGAUGGAGCAACGCCGCGUGAGUGAAGAAGGUUUUCGGAUCGUAAAACUCUGUUGUAAGGGAAGAACAAGUACAGUAGUAACUGGCCCUUGACGGUACCUUAUUAGAAAGCCACGGCUAACUACGUGCCAGCAGCCGCGGUAAUACGUAGCAAGCGUUGUCCGGAAUUAUUGGGCGUAACGCGCGCAGGCGGUCCUUUAAGUCUGAUGUGAAAGCCCACGGCUCAACCGUGGAGGGUCAUUGGUUGAUCAUUGAAACUGGGGGACUUGAGUGCAGAAGAGGAAAGUGGAAUUCCAAGUGUAGCGGUGAAAUGCGUAGAGAUUUGGAGGAACACCAGUGGCGAAGGCGACUUUCUGGUCUGUAACUGACGCUGAGGCGCGAAAGCGUGGGGAGCAAACAGGAUUAGAUACCCUGGUAGUCCACGCAACGAUGAGUGCUAAGUGGGGGGUUUCCGCCCCUUAGUGCUGCAGCUAACGCAUUAAGCACUCCGCCUGGGGAGUACGGUCGCAAGACUGAAACUCAAAGGAAUUGACGGGGGCCCGCACAAGCGGUGGAGCAUGUGGUUUAACGAAGCAACGCGAAGAACCUUACCAGGUCUUGACAUCCCGUUGACCAUAGAGAUAUGGUUUUCCCUUCGGGGACAACGGUGACAGGUGGUGCAUGGUUGUCCAGUUGAAACGUCAGCUCGUGUGAGAUGUUGGGUUAAGUCCCGCAACGAGCGCAACCCUUGAUCUUAGUUGCAUUUAGUUGGGCACUCUAAGGUGACUGCCGGUGACAAACCGGAGGGGGAUGACGUCAAAUCAUCAUGCCCCUUAUGACCUGGGCUACACACGUGCUACAAUGGACGAUACAAACGGUUGCCAACGAGGGAGCUAAUCCGAUAAAGUCGUUCUCAGUUCGGAUUGUAGGCUGCAACUCGCCUACAUGAAGCCGGAAUCGCUAGUAAUCGCGGAU